rnacentral:tRNA from 1 species
UAAGGUAUAGCAUAAUUAUAAUGCAUUUCACUUACAUUGAAAAUAGGUUCAUAUAGAACUACCUUAA